UCCCUGGCCCCACUGAUCUGCUGCUGAUGUAGCAUGUCCUUUAUGUUCUGGGAACGGGGAGUGCAGCACAGAGUGAUUGCUGCCAGGAGUUUGGGCAUCUUCCCCUGCUGCUGCUGAGAGCCAACUGCCCCUGGCUUAAGUGUGGGGCCUCCUUAUCCUCUGCUGUGGUCAUCCCCCCACCAGCCACAAGCCGUCCGUGUCAUUAUUCCCAGCACCCGUCUGUUUCCCAUUCCAGGAACCAUAGGGACUGUGGGGGCCGGUGGCGCUCUCAAGCACCACCCCCAUCUCUAGUCCUGACCAGCUGCCAUUCCUGCCCCUCUGCAGCCACCCUGUGUUGCCAGUGGGUACUCUGAAAGUGGCUCCUUCUGGUUUCACGGAGGAAGUGGAACAAAAGUACUUUUCUCAGAUCUUGAAACCUAUUUGGAGCACAAGUAUCCAUCUUGUAUUUAAACCCAGGGUGGUGGACAGUCCUCUCUGGGUCUGCAGUGCUGCUGCUGCUGCUGCUGGACACCCCCAAGUGGGCUCCUUUUUCACCCUACCCAGUCUCCCAUACCCUGAGCCAGGCAUCCCCAUGCGUGGGCAUUUUCCUCACCCUGCUCAGCCUCCAGCACCCCUGCCAGGCCUUCCUCUUAUUAUAGCUGCUCAUAUUCCCUAUCCUGCUGCAAAUGCCUGUCCUGCUGUUCUCCACCAAAUGGCUUUUUUGACUUAGAUGUUCUGGAAAAGAAGGGAGGAGAAAGAGGAAAGGAACAGCCAGAUCCCUCUAGAUCUCCACGGUUGCAUUGUUUACAAUUACCUCUGUAAUUCAUGGAAUAUGGUAUGAUUUAAAGAUAAUUUUACUUAUAUCAAGCCAUUAUUUACCAAAUAAUUAUUUAUAUUCCCAUAUAAAUAUUUUUUAUUCCAGAAACAAAUCUAACUAGUAUCCAUUAGGAUGCAAGUUCAAUCCCUGGCCUCACUCAGUGGGUUAAGGAUCCGGUGUUGCCGUGAGCUGUGGUGUAGGUCGCAGGCACGACUUGGAUCCUGCAUUACUGUGGCUGUGGCGUAAGCCAGUGGCUACAGCUCCAGUUUGACCCCUGGGAUCCUCCAAAUGCUACAGGUGUGGCCCUAAAAAGACAAAAAACAAAAACAAACAAGCACAUACUUGAGCCUACCACGUAAACAUUUCUGGCUGAGCUCUUGGGAAGUGCAAAGCCCUCAGUCUUGGACGUGGUUAAGGAAGCCUCUUUGAUUUGCAUGUCAUAAAAUACCAAAUUGGUUAUUUUACAUUUAGUGUAACCAUACCAAAAGUACGUGAAUAAUGCUUGUCUUCCCAAAUUAAAGCUUGACAGAAAUGGCUAAAUUUUCUUUUGACUGGCACCCUACUUUUCCUCCCAGCAGUAACCACAGUUGUAGAUUUGUGGAUGUUAUUUAAGUUGAUACAUAUGUAAAUGCAUGCACAGAAAUUCUUUAGUGCUUUUGUGAACUUGAGUAGGAGUGUAUGUAUGUAUGAGUGUGUUUUGCACAAAUGGUAAAGUACUGUACACACUGUAUGCAAUUGCUUUUUAUCCCAAGAUGCAACACAUCUUGUGGGGUUUACUCAUAAUACUAUGUAUUUAUCUAGCUUAUUCUUUUUAAUUUAGCCUGCCUCCUCUUUAGGCUUGCAUGCUGAACUAUAAGCAAUGCUUCCAAAUGUCCUUGCUCACAUGGGUAUUUGUCUAGAGGAGAUACUGAGAAAUGAGGUUAUCGGGCCACGGGGUAUGUGUAUUUUUGGUUUGAUGGACACUGAUUAUUGCCCUCUGAAGUGGCAAUUGUAAUGAAAGGGCUGUUUGCCCACGUUUCUUUGUCCACACAUCUGCCAACACUUGAUAUAACCAAACUUUUACUUUUUUUGGUCCAUCUGAUAUCUAAGAAAUGAUAUUUUACUGUUUUUACUUUUAUUUCCUGCUUGUUCAUCCUUCUAUAUUUAUUGAUCAUUUCAUCUUUUCUUCUGGAAAUUGCCUCCUAUUGUUUCUGUGCUUAUAUCCUUUACCCAUUUUUAUUGGGUUGUUUUAUUUUUGUUGGAUCUGUAGAAAUUUUGGUAUAUUAAGGAUAGUAGUUAUAUACCGUGGAAAAUAUUUUUUCUCUGAAUUUUUGCUGCUUUUACUUCAUUUUUUAUUAUCGUUCAUGUACAGUAUGCUUCAGGUGUACAGGUGUACAUAUUCUUUAUACUGUAUAUUACGUCCCCAUGCGUACCUAUUUCAUGACCGGAAGUUUCUGCCUCUUAAUCCUUUUCACCCGUUUCAUCCAUCCCCCGCCCCCUUUCCCUCUGACAGCCACCUGUUUGUUUUCUGUAUGUGUCUGUUUCUGUCUCCUUUUGUUUGUUCGUUUGUUUUGUUUUUAUUUUUUUAUUUAUAUUUAUCUUUUUUGCUUUUUUAGGGCCGCACCCAUGGCACAUGGAGGUUCCCAGGUUAGGGGUCCAAUCCGAACUACAGCUGCCCGCCUACACCACAGCUCAUGGCAACGCCAGACCUUUAACCCACUGAUUGAGGCCAGGGAUCCAACCCUCCUCCUCAUGGAUACUAUUUGGGUUCGUUACUGUUGAGCCUGGGAACAGCGGGAACUCCCCCACAUACAGGCUAACUGAUGUGGUUUUUGUCUUUCUCUGACUUACUUCACUUUGCACAGUGACCUCUAUUUCCAUCCAUACGUUGCAGAUGACAAGAUUUCAUUCUUUUUUAUGGCCGAGUAAUAAUUCAUUGUGCUCCUUUAGAAAACAUUGUCAGUGGUAUUAUUUAUAAUAGGUAAGUUUUUUUCAUCAACCUGACUUAUUUUUCCCAUAUAUAUUCAUUGUAUAUUCUCAUGCAUACGUAUUGUCAUGUUUUCAUGUAUAUUGUAGCAAGUGUGGUCAAGCCCUCAACCAUGUCCCCGUGGGCCUUAUGACGAACAUGUAUGAUAUAUAUACUUAUUAUUGAAGGCCAUAGAGGCAUGAUAGGAAUGUGGUAUUGGUUAAACAGGAAAACUUCGAGAAAUAGGUGAAGGUUACAUCAAAAGGAGGAUGUGAUGGAUGAUACUGGCAGAAAGCAGUGGGCGGAGAACUUUGGUUGGUAUGAAAAAAUAGUGCAGGGUCAGGAAUUAGCAUGGUGUGUGUCAUGGGGGCUGCAGAGGGGUUGCAGAUGGGUUUUGCUGGUGGGAAGGCUCUGCUGGGAACAUUUGAUUUAUUUAUUUUCCCAUGCUCACGGCAUAUGGAAAUCUCCAGGCCAGGGAUCAAAUCCAAGCUUCAACCUACACCACAUUUGCAGCAAUGCCACAUCCUUAAUCCACUGUGCCGGGCUAGGGGUCCACCUUGCACCUCAGCAGUGACUGAGCCACUGCAGAGACAACGCUGGGCCCUUAACCCUCUGUGCUACAGUGGGAGCUCCUACUGGGGACAUUUAAUCACGGAGGACUCUAGACAAACUGGCACUUCCUUCCUACCCAUCCGUCAGCCUAGGCAGUCACCCUGUGUCUCUUUGCCAGCUCUCACUUAGGAAUAUACUCAUUGGGGUGUAGAUGAUGAAGAUUUAAGAUUUGGAAUAGCAAGCAAUUAAAGAAUGAGGUGGGAAGAGAAGAAAGAGAGGAAAAGGUUUUUCUAGUUAAGAUACAAAAAUGAGCAAAGGUGUUGGCGCGAAGGUUGAUGGAUGACUUGGAGAAAAGGCAGUGGUUUCAUUUGGCUGGCACAGUAGGGUUCCUGAUGUUCCUAGAGUCUCCUGUUUAUAGGAAAUAAAUCAGUAGGCAGGGGGAAUGUUAGUUAAAUAGAGCGGAGAGAGAAGAGCUCUCUAGUGUAGUGAGAACUGAAAAGACAUUUGAAAGAGUUGGAACGAGCCAUGCAGUGCUCAGGUCAGAGGAGCUGCUAUUUCCAAGCCCCAGGGGUGGGAGCAUGUUUGCUGUCCCUUAGCAAGAGGACAGGUGUGGCCAGAGUAGGUUAAAAAGAUGGAGGAUUGUGGUAGAGGAUGAGGUCAGAGAGGUGGUGGGUGGCCAACCACAAGAUAUAGGGUCAGCCAUCACAAAUGGCUUUGAAUUUCACCCUACAUAAGACAGAAAGAGGCCAUUAGAGGACUGUAAUUAGAAGCGUGACAUAAUCUGACUUAGUACCAUGGCUGUUUUUGAAAGAAAUUAUCAGGUAGGUAUUGAAACAGGAGGCCAGUUGUAGAAGUCUGAGUUAGAGAUUAAUUGCCAAUGCUUUUGAUUGGUUGAAUAAAAUAAAAGACUGAGAACUGGUCCUUGAAUUUGGCAAUGAGUAAUUUACUAUGGAGUGUGUAUUCAAUUUUAUAGGUAAUAAAGAGCCUUUGAAGAUUUUAUAGGGAAGUGAUAUCAUCAGCAUUGUACUUUAUUAAAACCUAUUUAUUGGUAGCAGUAGUUGGAAAAGAUUAGGUUAAACCAAAAAAAAAAAAAAAAUCUGAGGAGAGACUUUUUAGGUUUUCAUUUUGCUGAAGGAUUAUAGGGUCACAAAGGGAAAGGACUAUUUUUUUAAAACUUUUUAGGGCUGAACCUUCGGCAUAUGAAAGUUCCCAGGCUAAGAGCUGAAUCAGAGCUGCAGCUGCUGGCUUAUGCUACAGCCACGGCAACACAGGAUCUGAGCAGUGUCUGUGACCUACACCACAGCUCAUGGCUAUGCUGGAUCCUUUAAUUCACUGAGUGGGGCCAGGGAUUGAACCCACAUCCUUAUGAAUACUAGUGAGGUUCCUUACUGCUGAGCCACAACAGGAACUCCUGGAAAGGACAUUUUAGAGUCUAAAGUGAAAGAACUGGACAACUGAAGGAAUACAGGGUAAGACAGAAGAGUCAAAGAUAAAUGUUUUGAAAUUGUGUGGCUAGAAAAAAUCAGAGUUCUGUUAAUAGAGAUGGGCAAAUCAGGAAAAGAAGAUGAUGCCUUUAAUUUUGUAUAUCAUGACUUUGAAGUUCUGGACAUCGAGGUUGAUUUCGGUGCUCGACCUACAGUCCGCUGUCAGUGGUGGAUUAUCGUUCUACAGUCCGCUGUCAGCAGUGCCUGCUUCGAGGCUUCAGACGCAUCUGGAAACAGUGACCUUCUGACUGGGCACCUUGGCUACUGGACCCCACUCUUCUUCUGAGAGGAAACCUCUGUUUCUUUACUCUGUAGUCCAAAUUGAUGAGCCACGUGGAAUAAGAGAAAAAAUUCCUUAUUUUCCUUUGAUUAUGUGCCAACUUUGAAUUUUGUGUGGUAAGUUUUGCUGGAGAUAUCCUGCAGAAUGGAACUGUAGGUCCAGAAUAUAAAAGAGAGAUAGAAGUUAAAGAUUGAAAGAGGGGAGCCAUUUGCUGUCAAACUGGAUAUGAAUUCCAGGGGAAAGAAUGUAAAAAGAAGAAUAUUAAUUACAGGUGCUGGAAGAAAUCUAUGUGGUAAGAUUAAUUUUGAAAAAUUGGAAAAAAAAAAAGGGGAGUUCCCACUGUGGCACAGUGGGUUAAUGAUCUUGCUUGUCUCUGUUGUGGUGCCAGUGUGAUCCCAGCCUGGUGCAGUGGAUUAAAGGAUCCAGCGUUGCCGCCGCUGUGGCUGAGGCUGGGAUUUGAUCCCUGGCUUGGGAACUUCCAUAUGCAAUGGGUGCA
rnacentral:lncRNA from 1 species